AGCCAUGCAGUGAGCACAGAGCGAACUAUUCUUUCGCCUUUUACUAAAGAAUACCGUGUGCUCGCUGUACAUAGUGGCAUACGCCAAUUUUUGUAGGGCUCUCCUUAAAAGGAGGGC